AGGGAUUGGAACUGCUGCAAAAGAUUAAUGGGCGCCCGGGGCAGAAGAUUAGUGAGAUUUCAGCAGCCUGAGUAUUUGCUGAGUUCCUGACAGAGAGCAGGAAGAACUUCCGGCUUGCGAAGCUGUCACUGACGCCAUAUCCUGUGUCCCUUUAAGGAAGGCAUUCCAGUCUGUGACCCUCGCCUGAAGCAGAAUAUACACAGUGAAAAGAAGGCCUCUUCAGAGCCCUAUCCAGGACAUCAAUAAAUCAAUUUCAAGCUGACCAAGAGACUUUCUGCUGGAAGGUGCAACACAGGCUGGUGGGAGGGAGAAAAAAAGAUCAGCAGCCUUGCCCUGUGAGAACCAUGUUUGGUACAACAAAGACCUGCUAGGCAAUCAGUUCACGGUUCUCUGCCUAGAGCUUACAAAAGAGGAGCUGAACAACAUAUCAUAGAAGGCAUAACUCACUGGAGGGCUGUCAUAGCAUACCGGACAAUAAGAUCUGCAUGCUUUUCUGAAACUUGUGGAGGGAAAAGCACCAAAGAACUUCGUGGUAUUUUGGCUGCUCCUUGCCACUUCAGUGGAUGCACACCAAGUCAGUGGAGCCUUGUGGUUUCUGCUGGAUUGAACUGCUGCUACUGAUUCAUGUUCGGUGUUUGCCAAUUGGACUGGACUGCCACUACUGAUUCAUGGGAAGAACUACUUCUAAGCAGAGAUUGGAGCCUUGACAAGACUGAACUGAAAGACUGCAUGGAAAGUUUCCCCACUGUGGUUGUCAAGCAUAUGAACACAGAAGCUAGUAGGGCCCAUUCUCAUCACACUGCAAGGAUGGACAUGGCUUCAUUGAGAGAAAAGCUGAAGCAAGGACAGUACCCGAGGCUACCAGGAGAGCUCACUGCCCCAAAUUAACAAGUCCUGACAAGAUCACUUGCACAGACAUAGCAGAAUACCCUCAUGCCUUUUUUUCCUGAUUGGCUUCUUGGUAUUGAGUUAUGUAACAUUAAUGACAUUUUCUAAGGUUCCUACAUGCUGAGCACUCCAUAGCUUUGUGUCAGGGGAAGGAUUUGGUAUAGUGUUAGGAGGUGAUGGGAUAGUUUCUAAGAGAAGUGACUUAAAGAGAAGUUGG
ensembl:lncRNA